AACGCGAAGAACCUUACCAGGUCUUGACAUCCCUCUGACCGUCCUAGAGAUAGGGCUUCCCUUCGGGGCAGAGGAGACAGGUGGUGCAUGGUUGUCGUCAGCUCGUGUCGUGAGAUGUUGGGUUAAGUCCCGCAACGAGCGCAACCCUUGAUCUUAGUUGCCAGCACUUCGGGUGGGCACUCUAGGAUGACUGCCGGUGACAAACCGGAGGAAGGUGGGGAUGACGUCAAAUCAUCAUGCCCCUUAUGACCUGGGCUACACACGUACUACAAUGGCCGGUACAACGGGAUGCGAAAGGGCGACCUGGAGCGAAUCUUAGAAAGCCGGUCUCAGUUCGGAUUGCAGGCUGCAACUCGCCUGCAUGAAGUCGGAAUUGCUAGUAAUCGCGGAUCAGCAUGCCGCGGUGAAUACGUUCCCGGGCCUUGUACACACCGGAGUGC
rnacentral:rRNA from 1 species